rnacentral:tRNA from 1 species
ACUAAUUUGGCAGAAUAAAGUGCUAUAGAUUUAGGUUCUAUGAAUAUUGUAUUUACAUUAGUUAGUA